GGGUUGUGAGGUUAAGCGACUAAGCGUACACGGUGGAUGCCCUGGCAGUCAGAGGCGAUGAAGGGCGUGCUAAUCUGCGAUAAGCGCCGGUAAGGUGAUAUGAACCGUUAUAACCGGCGAUACCCGAAUGGGGAAACCCAGUGUGAUUCGUCACACUAUCAUUAACUGAAUCCAUAGGUUAAUGAGGCGAACCGGGGGAACUGAAACAUCUAAGUACCCCGAGGAAAAGAAAUCAACCGAGAUUCCCCCAGUAGCGGCGAGCGAACGGGGAGGAGCCCAGAGCCUGAAUCAGCAUGUGUGUUAGUGGAAGCGUCUGGAAAGGCGCGCGAUACAGG
rnacentral:rRNA from 1 species